rnacentral:rRNA from 1 species
GGAGUCUAGCAUGUGCGCGAGUCAUUGGGAUUCUCGAAACCCAAAGGCGAAAUGAAAGUAAAGGCACGCUCGCGCGCCGAGGGAGGAUGGGCCGGCCCGCGGGUCGGCCCCGCACUCCCGGGGCGUUUCGUUCUCAUCGCGAGAUGAGGCGCACCCAGAGCGUACACGCUGGGACCCGAAAGAUGGUGAACUAUGCCUGGUCAGGACGAAGUCAGGGGAAACCCUGAUGGAGGUCCGUAGCGAUUCUGACGUGCAAAUCGAUCGUCGGAACUGGGUAUAGGGGCGAAAGACUAAUCGAACCAUCUAGUAGCUGGUUCCCUCCGAAGUUUCCCUCAGGAUAGCUGGCGCUCGCGUAGCGAGUCUCAUCCGGUAAAGCGAAUGAUUAGAGGCAUUGGGGUCGAAACGGCCUCAACCUAUUCUCAAACUUUAAAUGGGUGAGAUCUCCGGCUUGCUUAGACAGUGAAGCCGCGAGAUACUCAAACAGGAUCAGAGUGCCAAGUGGGCCAUUUUUGGUAAGCAGAACUGGCGCUGUGGGAUGAACCAAACGCAGAGUUAAAGCGCCCAAAUCGACGCUUAUGGGAUACCAUGAAAGGCGUUGGUAACUUAAGACAGCAGGACGGUGGCCA